rnacentral:rRNA from 1 species
UCGGUACGUACUGGCAUUGUUGUGGUUUCUCCCUUCUGACGAACCAUGAUGUCAUUUAUUUGGUGUUGUGGGGAAUCAGGACUGUUACUUUGAAAAAAUUAGAGUGUUUAAAGCAGGCUCACGCUUGAAUACAUUAGCAUGGAAUAAUGAAAUAGGACGUUUGAUUCUAUUUUGUUGGUUUCUAGGAUCGACGUAAUGAUUAAUAGGGAUAGUUGGGGGCAUUAGUAUUCAAUUGUCAGAGGUGAAAUUCUUGGAUUUAUUGAAGACUAACUACUGCGAAAGCAUUUGCCAAGGAUGUUUUCAUUAAUCAAGAACGAAAGUUAGGGGAUCGAAGACGAUCAGAUACCGUCGUAGUCUUAACCAUAAACUAUGCCGACUAGGGAUCGGAUGAUGUUAAUUUUUUAAUGACUCAUUCGGCGCCUUACG